CGGAUGGAACCGCCGAGUCCUGCCUCCAUCCACGGGUCCUCGUGCACCACACCGCUUGGCAGGAGCGGGGGAACCACCUUCGGAGCCACUCUCACGCCUGGCUCCUCGGGGUGAAGCCGACCGGUCCUUCGGGACCGCCGGCCGGGCAACCUCUGCCCGAACCCGACAGCUCACCCCGUAGGCACAGAGAGGUUGA
rnacentral:sRNA from 2 species